UUGCGCGUUUCCGAACGUCCUCCCGCAUUGAUCAAGUGGGGGAUGAUGCAUCGUCGUUCGUCGCCACUCAGAACAGCCUCAUCGGACGCGCAGCUUUGUCUCCGCGCUCAAAAGUGCUUUCUUGCUUCGUUUAUCGAUUACCCACGUUAAUCGCGUGAUUCAGUAUCGAGUGUACCUCCAAAGACAAUCCACUUCCCAGUGUUGUGACAAGCGGCGACUGCGGUUGUACAGGAGCGGAAGCGUGAGCCUUUUGACGAGCGACUGUGAAGAAUGCAAAGCCAGUGCCAAACUUCGGUAAGUUGAAGAAAGUCGCUGAACUAAGUAACUUGGUUAUUCAUUGCGUAAGGACUGUUGUGCAGGAACCGAUAGCCCGGGCGGCGUGUUGGCACAGCGAGGAUGAGAACGAGAGACCCGAUAGACAGCGAUGACAGCUGUUCACGGCACCGACACAGAGGACAUAUUGCAGUGCAAGAUAGGAGCGGUCUUCCUGCAAGCCCAGACAAGCCAUAUUGAGUGGUUUCAAAUACAGCAACUGUACCACCACGACAGUGCAGCACAAGAGACCCUAUCGUCAGUGCUGAGCCAGAAAUUAAAUAGAAAAGCGCUUUCUCCUGAAAUCUUUCGUCUGGUCUUAUUUCGUUUGUUUGUGAUUGUAAAAGAGCGCUUUCAUAGGAAAUACAAAAUUUAACUAACUAGCCCCAUUUAUUGUCCUAUUGAAACUAAAUAGCUUGACAAUUUAACGCUCGUUUACAAAUGCAUGUAUCAUAGACAUGCAAGAUUAUUGAUUGGCUUCGAAAGACUGUUACGUGUAAAGAACAAUGGUGAUCUAGUCAUUGCUCGAAAUGGUCUGCUGGCAUUUAUGUGACAAUCCUCUAAAGCAUGCACACUUUCGUAUUAUUAACCACAAAAAUAUUUAUUGACCUGUGUGCAGCAAACAUGCUGUUGCUGGCAUAAGGCCUAAGUCUGCAAUAUGGUGUUUAAUGUCAACCUAAUGCAUAUGUUCAGUUGCGUUUCACUAGACAACGGCCAUUAGAA
rnacentral:lncRNA from 1 species